rnacentral:rRNA from 1 species
UACGUAGGGUGCGAGCGUUAAUCGGAAUUACUGGGCGUAAAGCGUGCGCAGGCGGUCUUGCAAGACAGGUGUGAAAUCCCCGGGCUCAACCUGGGAACUGCACUUGUGACUGCAAGGCUGGAGUACGGCAGAGGGGGAUGGAAUUCCGCGUGUAGCAGUGAAAUGCGUAGAUAUCGUAAGGAAGACCAGUGGCGAAGGCGGGUCUCUGGACAGUUCCUGACGCUGAGGCACGAAGGCCAGGGGAGCAAACGGG